rnacentral:rRNA from 1 species
UCCGGUUGAUCCUGCCGGACCUGACUGCUAUCGGAUUGGUACUAAGCCAUGCGAGUCAUUGUAGCAAUACAAGGCGGACGGCUCAGUAACACGUAGUCAACCUAACUCGUGGACGUGGAUAACCUCGGGAAACUGAGAAUAAACCACGAUAGAUCAUAGUGCCUGGAAUGGCUUAUGGUCCAAACAGUUUACUGCCAUGGGAUGGGACUGCGGCCUAUCAGCUUGUUGGUGAGGUAAUGGCCCACCAAGGCGAUUACAGGUACGGGCUCUGAGAGGAGAAGCCCGGAGAUGGGUACUGAGACACGGACCCAGGCCCUAUGGGGCGCAGCAGGCGAGAAACCUUAGCAAUGUGCGAAAGCACGACUGGGUCAGUCCGAGUGAUUCCUGAUAAAGGAGUCUUUUGCCUGUCCUAAAAGCACAGGUGAAUAAGGGGUGGGCAAGUCUGGUGUCAGCCGCCGCGGUAAUACCAGCACCUCGAGUGGUCAGGACGUUUAUUGGGCCUAAAGCAUCCGUAGCCGGCUUUGCAAGUCUUCGGUUAAAUCCACCUGCUCAACAGAUGGGCCGCUGGAGAUACUACAGAGCUAGGGAGUGGGAGAGGCAGACGGUAUUCAGUGGGUAGGGGUAAAAUCCUCUGAUCCAUUGAGGACCACCAGUGGCGAAGGCGGUCUGCCAGAACACGUUCGACGGUGAGGGAUGAAAGCUGGGGGAGCAAACCGGAUUAGAUACCCGGGUAGUCCCAGCUGUAAACGAUGCAAACUCGGUGAUGCAUUGGCUUAUGGCCAAUGCAGUGCCGCAGGGAAGCCGUUAAGUUUGCCGCCUGGGAAGUACGGACGCAAGUCUGAAACUUAAAGGAAUUGGCGGGGGAGCACCACAAGGGGUGAAGCCUGCGGUUCAAUUGGAGUCAACGCCAGGAAUCUUACCCGGGGAGACAGCAGAAUGAAGGUCAAGCUGAAGACUUUACCAGACAAGCUGAGAGGUGGUGCAUGGCC